ACGGGAGGCAGCAGUGGGGAAUAUUGCACAAUGGGCGCAAGCCUGAUGCAGCAACGCCGCGUGCGGGAAGACGGUCUUCGGAUUGUAAACCGCUGUCCUUGGUGACGAACAAAUGACGGUAGCCGAGGAGGAAGCCACGGCUAACUACGUGCCAGCAGCCGCGGUAAUACGUAGGUGGCAAGCGUUGUCCGGAUUUACUGGGUGUAAAGGGAGCGCAGGCGGGAAAUCAAGUCAGCUGUGAAAACUAUGGGCUUAACUCAUAGACUGCAGUUGAAACUGUUUUUCUUGAGUGAAGUAGAGGUAGGCGGAAUUCCGAGUGUAGCGGUGAAAUGCGUAGAGAUUCGGAGGAACACCGGUGGCGAAGGCGGCCUACUGGGCUUUAACUGACGCUGAGGCUCGAAAGUGUGGGGAGCAAACAGGAUUAGAUACCCUGGUA
rnacentral:rRNA from 1 species